UUGUGCGCUCGUCAUUUGCCGUCAUCGCGCGGAGAUAUUUGCGCUGGAUGUCUUUCACUUCGUGUACAAAACUCUGCACGCUGCGGCAUCGAAGAAGUUGUCCUGUGUUUGGGUGCACGUAUGCGCUUGGACACGGAUAGCCUGCUUGCUCUCAACGGGUGUUCAACAGUCUACGCGCGCUCGUAACUUGCUCAUGAGGCAAGUUGCUGUUGUGCUGGAGCUGAGAAGAGCUCUCCUGCCUGCAAUCGGUCCAUCUCUCUAAAGUUAUUGCAGUAUUGUAGCUCUCAAGGUUCAAAAAAAGUAUGGUGGAAGCUGUUGCCAAGGUUCUGACCACAAAAGACAGCCAGUAUAAAAGGGUCCACGCCACUGAUCUCUACUACAGGGGAUGAACAGCACAUCGAGCGCCCUCGACUAAAGCCGGCCUUGUCCCGGAAGUUGGUGCUUCACAACUUUGCGGCACCACUUUGUUGCACGGCCUGUGGAGACAAGGUUUCUUAGACAUGGCCAUGGCCCUCAAGGAAGAUGCCGAGGCCACAGGCAGUUCCUCCAGUGACCGUGAAGAGGUCCCCUGGGGCACAAGUCUGGUUUGGCACCCCCACCUUUCUCCUGCAGCUUUUCUGUCUACUUAGCUAACCAGCAGCAAGUUUAUCCUUGCAAGCGUUUGGAGUCAAGAACAACUUUCACCAGGAAGAAGUGCGAGACGAGUGAUUGAAGAAAAUAAAGUUGCUUCUGUG